rnacentral:hammerhead_ribozyme from 1 species
GCAUUGCUGACGAGUCCCACAACAGGACAAAACGGCUGUCCAGUAC